rnacentral:pre_miRNA from 1 species
UAACUCUUCGUCUUAUUUAAAUUUUUUUACGAUUGAUAUUUUUGUUUUUAUUAGAUGAUAAAUCAUGAAUAGUACUUUACGUGUGACUAAUUUUUUUCUAAUUUUCUAAAAACUUUUCAAAUAAGACGGAUGGUCA